rnacentral:lncRNA from 10 species
CUGGGAAGAGCCAGAGCUCCUGAUAUGAGUGAUGGUACAAAUGAACAUCUCAGAGACAAAGGAGAAGACCAAUGGAGUCUGUAGAUGCGGAAGCCACCUCUGGAGAGAAAGCCACCACUGAGAGCAAGCAAUGAUAGCUGUGGCGGUUUUGCAAAAAAGAAAAGGGAGACAAGCGCCCAGCUAUAGUUACCAAUAAAGCAUGGUACUGGUAUUAAAAUAGGCAUGUGUUCUGUUCCAAUGGAACAGAAUAG